rnacentral:rRNA from 1 species
AACGAACGCUGGCGGCAGGCCUAACACAUGCAAGUCGAGCGAAGCCUUCGGGCUUAGCGGCGGACGGGAAAGUAACGCGUGGGAACGUGCCCUUUGGUACGGAAUAGCCCCGGGAAACUGGGAGUAAUACCGUAUGUGGUCGAGAGACGGAAGAUUUAUCGCCACAGGAUCGGCCCGCGUUGGAUUAGGUAGUUGGUGGGGUAAUGGCCUACCAAGCCGACGAUCCAUAGCUGGUUGGAGAGGAUGAUCGGCCUCACUGGGGCUGAGACACGGCCCAGACACCUACGGGAGGGAGCAGUGGGGAAUCUUAGACAAUGGGGGAAACCCUGAUCUAGCCAUGCCGGGUGAUCGAUGAAGGCCUUAGGCUUGUAAAGAUCUUUCAGUGGGGAAGAUAAUGACUGUACCCACAGAAGAAGCCCCGGCUAACUCCGUGCCAGCCGCCGCGGUAA